rnacentral:tRNA from 1 species
GCCCUGGUGGUGGAAUUGGUAGACACAAGGGAUUUAAAAUCCCUCGGCGUUCGCGCUGUGCCGGUUCAAGUCCGGCUCGGGGCA